AUUGAACGCUGGCGGCAGGCCUAACACAUGCAAGUCGAGCGAGCGGCGCACGGGUGAGUGAUAUAUGGGGGCUGCGCGUUAGAGGGGGGUAACUACUGGAAACGGUGUCUAAUAUCCCAUACUGUCUGAUAACCCCUAUGGGAUUAGCUAGUAGGUAAGGUAAUGGCUUACCCAGGCGACGAUCCCUAGCUGGUCUGAGAGGAGGAUCAGCCACACUGGAACUGAGACACGGUCCAGACUCCUACGGAGGCAGCAGUGGGGAAUAUUGCACAAUGGGCGCAAGCCUGAUGCAGCCAUGCCGCGUGUAUGAAGAAGGCCCUAGGGUUGUAAAGUACUUUCAGUCGGGAGGCGUUACCGACAGAAGAAGCACCGGCUAACUCCGUGCCAGCAGCCGCGGUAAUUC
rnacentral:rRNA from 1 species